GGAGAGUAGCUGUCAGGCUGUCACCUACAUCUGUCUUCUUCUCCAGAAGGUGCUUCGAAGGGGAAAAGUUAGCAAGGUUAGAGCUUGUGAAAUGUUGAGCAAACUUGAUCACGUCCGCUUGCAGUCAACAUGGAAAGCAAGCAGAUCGGUCCGGGAGGCUACGCCGGAUUGGCGUUUCCAAUCUUAGCCACCUGCGCUGCGCCACUGGAUUUUGCUGUUAUGAGCUUUUUUUUUGGCUGGGAGGGGAGAGGAGCUGGCAGCCGGAAGGGGUAUGAAGGGACUGGGCGGGCAGAAGUGCGUCGCGGGGUCGCUGGUGACGCGGCGACAUCGGGUCUGGCUUAUCCUCUUCCCGGUCAUCUCUGCAUGCGUAUCCCUGGCCGUGCUACACCCGUCCGCGUGGGACGCAUCAGGCGGAUGCGGUGAGCAAGGUCGCGGACGCGGAGGACGUGUUGGUGCCAGGGCUGCCGGGGUGUUUGCAGUAUGUCCGUCAUUCCAGGGGCACUGAUGUUCAAUCUUAUUCCUAUGCGUUAUCUAAAUAGCGAUAGGAUUUUGUUUCUGAUCAAGAUCUAUCUCUUUGGGAGCACUGAAUUUGUCACUGAGCCUCUAGGUAAGAGGUAGAAAGGAGGUGCUCAGUGGAAAGCGAUGGCAUGGAAUAAAAAGGCAUGUAAGCUGAUUUAAGCUAGUAGACCGUACAGAAAAAUAACUGGAAAACGAAUUGAGGUGUUGUGCUACGACCUGGUCAGCAUGGAGGAUGAAGAAACUGAAUGUUCAGGAGAUACCAGUUGGUCAACGACAGUGAACCCCAAUUCAUACACAUUAUAUUCUUGGUCCUUGUUCUCCAAGAUCCGUGGAAGAUGCAAAAGAGCAUUCCGUUGAGAUCGAGCUGAGACAUCUUUUACUGGAGCGGCCUGCAUUUCUAUUUUCUUAAGUUUCAUGCAAGAUAAGUGUGGAGAUCAAGCGUGAACUGAUUGAGCAAACAAACCACCGCAACAAUGAUCAAUUUAAACCAGUGCAUAGGGUUAUCUUUACUGCUCGCGCAUGCCGUGAGGUCUUCAGUGUUCAAGAAUCCACAUCGUAGCAUCAUAGCAGAGCCAUCAUGACCAAGCAAAUGAAUCAAAAGCUUGUGUGGAUAGGUCAGAUCAAUUUUUACCAAAACUUCAAACAAAUUUAUAAUGCACUCGGAAAAGGUAAUGAGAGAACAUAAAUUCUGAGCAUAUGGGAGUAACUUGCUAACCUUCAUCUUUAAAGCAAACAUAAUAGUUUGAAUAACCGCAAUGGUUUUAAUUAUCUGUCUCACUCCACUGACCAUUGGACUCUCAAAAUGAAGAUUCACGAAGUAUGUCUUCGGAGAAAGUUGUGAGAACACACUCUUAAAGGAGAAAUGAUUCUCACAACACUGAAACUUUGUAUGACGUAACCUUAUAAAAAUUAUACUAAACUCAUAAAAGAAAAUUAUCUAUAAGCUAGCUGGUAUCUUAACAAAUGAUUUGCACACCGCAUAUAAAGCAAUAGGCCAUAAUACAUGUCUAUAAGUUAUCCGAACCUAACAGCCUACAUCAAUCCACCUCAAGCAGAAUCAUUUCCAUAUGAGCCUAUGUAUGAUGAUAACCAUAUGAAACGUGCCGCCAACAUAUAUCAAAUAAUAGUAUGAAUAGAAUCUGCAGUUGCGAAACCUAAACAAAUACAUUUCCAGCAUGUCCAACCAAACAUGUAUUGGAAAAAUAAAUAAUCUUGUGUCUUAAUUGUGAGUUGUUGCAAAAUCCACAUCUAUUAUCUUCUAAAGAAAUAUUCUAACACUGCAGCAGGCCUCAUGUAAGCCUAUCAAUAAGUAAAAGCUAGAACAACAACGGUUUAGUUGACUGUAUGAUUUUCAUAGCAAAUGAAAACUUAUGGGAGAACUUUAUAAUACCUUCGGGAUGCUAAAACCUGAAGUUUUCCGAGAUGAAGGCUUUGUUGGAAAUAGUAGAAUAGGAGCAUCGCAGGCCUCCUCUAAAAGAGGAACAUGGAAAAUAUCACAGGAGUUAUCACAGUUGAAGACAUGUUGGACUGAAAAAACAUUAAUCUUUCACAAAGUAAAAUAUGAAAUCGCCGAUCCAAAUAUCAAGACAGCUAAUAUUAGAUUUCCCAUUUCUUUCGGUGCAAGUAGAGCUUCCAAGAUAAUAACUGAAUCCCUCUCUCAUAAAGAAUAAGCGGCAGUGCUAGAUUGUUGGCACCAUGAAGCUCCCAGAUCAGAUUCACCAAAGAAGAGGAAAACUAUCCACCAGAAAACGACCCAACAACUCUCCCAUCAGAAGUACCAAUGAAGCAGCAGACAUACAUCUUCCAAGCGGAGAUGGAGCAUGCAAAGCAGAAGAUGGAACCACUGAGGAAUGCCUCCCGACCAUGGCAUCAACAGCAGCAUGGCAACCUACAACAUCAAUCAAUCAGUAAACAACAUGAUAUUGCUGGUAUAUUUCUAUGAGCCUCCCGCUACACCGCCUUGGAAGCUUUCCCUCUUCAUCCGACCAUCGAGCAUCCAGAGGCAGCGAGGUCCAUCACCACCAAUCCCAUCACCGCACAGCUCGCAAUCCAGAAGGAUCUAGGGCAGCGCUGCGAGAUCUGGCCGCGCAUCACCAGGGCCGGUCCUGACGUGGUAGAGGCCCCGGUGCAAAAGAACAACAUGGGCCCACGUAUGUGCUCGUGUCAUUCAAAGAAUUUUUUCAUACUUCGAUAUUUAUUUAAAUUCUGAUAUAUCUAUAUAAUAAAAAGUAUCUACUAUCUAUAUACAUCUAAAUUUAGAUAAACUUACGAAAUUCUUUUUAUUCGAUAGAUGUAGUUUAUAAAGUCGCUGAUAUUUGUUCUUACAUAGGCAUCGCCCUUUUUGGUUGUACUUGUACAAUAGAUAGGUCAAGGUUCUAAGAAAUGUCUUUAGAAAUUGUAUUUGUACUACUUCUUUCGAUUCAUAUUAAUUAAUUUCUAAUGUUGAUGUAUCUAGAUAUAUUGUAGUUGUAGAUACAUCCAUACUAACCGCAAGUAAUAUGAAUUGGAGUAAGUAGUAAUUUUGUUUUGUCAAGUGCUACAUUUUCUCCUUUUGGGAUUCUACAACUCAUCUGCUAGUUUGCCUAAUUCCCGUCCAAAUACUUUUUAAUUGACAUCUUAGCACAGGAAGAUUACAAAAAAAUAUGGCAUAAGUUGAAACAAGAACACCUGGAGCGGGACUGGAUGUCGCCACGGGUAGGAAGCAAAUCUCCUUCUGGUUCAGUCAAGUAGAAGAUGAUUUCUACUCGGUCAAAUCUUCUUUGGUAUCUCGAUUCUAUGGGGACUGAAAGAGUGGGGAUUACAAAGAUCAUCAGAAAUCACAAGAAGAAGCAACGAUGGAAAGAAAUCAGAUUGGCUGAAGAAGAAUAGAAAGGCUGUGAGCAGGGCCUAGCUGUGAGCUAUGUAGAAGAGAGUGAAAUGCACUAGCAGUCCUGAAAGUUACCGGCUAUGUCUAAAACAGUCCUUGAACUUAGAAUUUGCCUUACUUCAGUCCUCCAACUUGAUUUGAAUGUCCAUAUACGGUCCAAAAUACAGAGGUCCACCGUAUGCUGCUGAGGUGGCAUGGAAUCAGGCCCACAGUGGAGCCCAAUUGGUGGACCCAUGCCAGCGAAGCAGUAAAACCCAGUCUGCUUUGAGUUACAGACUAGGACGUUAAGUCUUUUUUUUUUUACCCCAGGACGUUAAAUCUUUGUUAUUUCUUAUUUAGUUUGUGUGGUACUUUUAACGUUCUCAAGCUA